GAAACCUACAAGUUGCCCUGGCAAGCCUUCAAGUUUGAAAGGGGCCUCUCACUGUUGUGGCCUCUCCCGUUGCGGAGCACAGGCUCCAGACGCGCAGGCUCUGCGGCAUGUGGGAUCUUCCCGGACCGGGGCACGAACCCGCGUUCCCUGCAUCAGCAGGCGGACUCUCAACCACUGUGCCGCCAGGGAAGCCCGAGUUCCUUGCUUUAGUGGAAGCUCGGCUCACACACUACUGAGUUGAAUGGAUCUUUAUCUUGUCUGUUGGUCAUGAAAAAAGCCAUUGCAGAUCACAUUCUUCAACGGACUUAACCAGGAGGGGCUGGAGUAAGAGGUGGACCAAGAGGAUCAGAAGUGGUGCACAAGUGACGUCUAUUCUAAUAGGUA